GAUGAAGAACGUAGCGAAAUGCGAUAAGUAGUGUGAAUUGCAGAAUUCAGUGAAUCAUCGAAUCUUUGAACGCACAUUGCGCCCCUUGGUAUUCCGAGGGGCAUGCCUGCUCGAGCGUCAUUAUAACCCCUCAAGCUCAGCUUGGUGUUGGGGCCUGCUGCACUGGCAGCCCUUAAAAUCAGUGGCGGCGCCAUCUGGCUCUAAGCGUAGUAAUUCUUCUCGCUAUGGAGUCCUGGUGGAUGCUUGCCAUCAACCCCCAAUUUUUCUAUGGUUGACCUCGGAUCAGGGAGGGAUACCCGCUGAACUUAAGCAUAUCAAUAAGCGGAGGA
rnacentral:misc_RNA from 1 species